AUUGCAGAUAACCUUCUUUUCAUAGCUGUCAUAACAAUUUAUAGAGACGCGUUAAAAGUUAAAUUUUUGGUGGGUUAAUGUAUUUAAAAUUGAUUUCACUUACAUAUUGCCCAUAUUGCUUAUUCGGUAGUGAUAAAGAUGGUUACGCUGGAUUACAAUUAGAAGAGAGAAUAAGUUAAUGACCUUGCAAUG